GCGUAUGCAACCUACCUUCAACUGGGAGAUAGCUCCCGGAAACGGGGAUUAAUAUCCCAUAAUGUUUUUUUACGGCAUCGUAAAAAAAUUAAAGCUCCGGCGGUUGAAGAUGGGCAUGCGUGACAUUAGCUAGUUGGUAAGGUAACGGCUUACCAAGGUUACGAUGUCUAGGGGGUCUGAGAGGAUGAUCCCCCACACUGGUACUGAGACACGGACCAGACGUCUACGGACGGCAGCAGUGAGGAAUAUUGGGCAAUGGACGAAAGUCUGACCCAGCCAUGCCGCGUGCAGGAUGACAGCCCUAUGGGUCGUAAACUGCUUUUCUGCAAGAAGAAACUUUCCGACGUGUCGGAAAUUGACGGUAUUGCAAGAAUAAGCAUCGGCUAACUCCGUGCCAGCAGCCGCGGUAAUACGGAGGAUGCAAGCGUUAUCCGGAUUUAUUGGGUUUAAAGGGUGCGUAGGCGGGAGAUUAAGUCAGUGGUGAAAUCCUGCAGCUUAACUGUAGAAUUGCCAUUGAUACUGAUUUCCUUGAGUGUAGUUGAGGUGGGCGGAAUGUGUAUUGUAGCGGUGAAAUGCAUAGAUAAUACACAGAACACCUAUUGCGAAGGCAGCUCACUAAACUAAUACUGACGCUGAGGCACGAAAGCGUGGGGAGCGAACAGGAUUAGAUACCCUGGUAGUCCACGCUGUAAACGUUGAUUACUCGAUGUGUGCGAUACACUGUACGCGUCUGAGCAAAAGCAUUAAGUAAUCCACCUGGGGAGUACGAUCGCAAGAUUGAAACUCAAAGGAAUUGACGGGGGCCCGCACAAGCGGAGGAACAUGUGGUUUAAUUCGAUGAUACGCGAGGAACCUUACCUGGGCUUAAAUGCAGAAUGACGUCCACCGAAAGGUGGAUUCCCUUCGGGGCAGACUGCAAGGUGCUGCAUGGUUGUCGUCAGCUCGUGCCGUGAGGUGUCGGGUUAAGU
rnacentral:rRNA from 1 species